rnacentral:rRNA from 1 species
CCUGGUUGAUCCUGCCAGUAAUGAUAUGCUUGUCUUAAAGAUUAAGCCAUGCAUGUGUCAGUUCAAGCUUUGCAAAGUGAAACCGCGAAUGGCUCAUUAAACCAGCUAUGAUUUGCUGGCCGAGACGUGUUUGACAUGGAUAACUGUGGUAAUUCUAUAGCUAAUACAUGCUACCGACUUGCCGUCGACGUUGCGAUGCAUGUCGCUCGACUUGCAUGGCGCUAGACGGCGAGGCUUUUAUUGGCUUAGAAAACCGACUGCGUUAGUGGGCGCUUUGUCGUCUCGCUUGUGCAACAAUUAUCCAGUGGAAUCACGAUAACAUUGUAGUGAAUCGUACGGUCUUGAACCGACGAUGCGUUCUAUAAAUGUCUGACCUAUCAGCUGUGGACGGUUUGAUAGAGGCUGACCGUGGCAAUGACGGGUGACGGGGAAUCUGGGUUCGAUUCCGGAGAGGGAGCCUGAGAAACGGCUACCACAUCUAAGGAAGGCAGCAGGCACGUAACUUACCCACUCCCAGCUCAGGGAGGUAGUGACAAUAAAUACCUUACAGACGUAUCGUCUAGCGGUACGUCUCAAACGGAAUGAGUACAAUAUGAAGUAUUUAACGAGAACCGACUGGAGGGCAAGUCUGGUGCCAGCAGCCGCGGUAAUUCCAGCUCCAGUAGCAUAUAUUAAAGUUGUUGCGGUUAAAAAGCUCGUAGUUGGAUAUCAAUGCGUGCCCGGUUUGUCAUUCCCGUUUGUGUGCUUGUGCCCAACUGCGCAACAGGCCGGUCGUUGUGUGCGCACGUGUGUCACACACACGCGCACACUCACGUGUGCGUGUGUGGCGCGUGUGUGCACGUCGGCCAUGAAGCGUGUUGUGUGCGGGCCCAGUGUGCAGCGGGGCUUAAAUGACGACUGGCCGCAUCGUUUCGCAGCCUGUUUUGUUGGCGGGCCGGUUUUCUGAACUGGCCUGUCGACAGCCGGCAGUUUACUUUGACUAAAUUUGAAUGCUUAACGUAUGCUGUAUUGCUUGAAUAUAUUGUCAUGGCAUUGGAGAAUAGUGCCCUGAUUCACAUAUGGUUGGUUUUUGAAUCGAAGGGAAAUGAUUAAUAGAGACUGACGGAGGCAUUCGUAUUGCAACGCCAGGGGGUGAAAUCCAAUGACCGUUGCAAGACGAACUACUGCGAAAGCAUUUGCCGAGAAUGUUUUCAUUAGUCAAGAACGAAAGUUAGAGGUUCGAAGGCGAUCAGAUACCGCCCUAGUUCUAACCGUAAACGAUGUCGACCAGCAAUCCGCAACAGUCACUUAGAGACCGUGCGGGCGGCUUCAACCGGGGAAACCAGAGUUUCUGGACUCCGGGGGGAGUAUGGUUGCAAAACAGAAACUUAAAGGAAUUGACGGAAGGGCACCACCAGGAGUGGAGCUUGCGGCUUAAUUUGACUCAACACGGAACAACUUACCAGGCCAGAACACUCUUAGGAUUGACAGACUGAAAGCUCUUUCUUGAUUGAGUGGGUGGUGGUGCAUGGCCGUUCUUGGUUGGUGGAGUGAUUUGUCUGGUUUAUUCCGAUAACGAACGAGACUCUAGCCUACUUGUCGAGUGCGCAGUCUAUAUGUGGUCUAGCUGUGCGUCGAUUGUGGUGCUUGCUCGUGUCAUACUGUUGACUGUAUACGCGCACGCUAGCACACGUGUGCGCUUGCGUACAUCUGUGUGUGUGUGUGCGCGUGUGCAUGUUUGCGGUGGGCACGGUGUCAACGCGUGCUGUGGUCGACGCGUUGGCUGACUAUUGUAGUUAAGACUGUCGAUUGUGUGCACUUCUUAGCGGGAUUGUCGGUUGUGUUCAAAAACCGAUAGAAAAAGAGCAAUAACAGGUCUGUGAUGCCCUUAGAUGUUCUGGGCUGCCCGCGUGUUACACUGGAGUGGUCAACGCGUUACUUGUUUCUGCUUCGAGAGAAGUGGGCAGUCGUGUAAGCUAUUCCGUGAUUGGAAUUGAAAGUUGCAAUUAUCUUUCAUGAACGAGGAAUUCCAAGUAAGCGCAAGUCAUUAACUUGCGCUGAUUAAGUCCCUGCCCUUUGUACACACCGCCNGUCGCUACUACCGAUGGACGACUUGGUGAGGUCGUUCAGAGUGGUUGUGCUGCUUCGGCAGCUCAGCCGCAAAAACGCCCAAACUUGGUCGUCUAGAGGAAGUAAAAGUCGUAACAAGGUUUCCGUAGGUGAACCUGCGGAAGGAUCAUUA